AGUGAACGCUGGCGGUAGGCCUAACACAUGCAAGUCGAACGGCAGCACAGUAAGAGCUUGCUCUUACGGGUGGCGAGUGGCGGACGGGUGAGGAAUACAUCGGAAUCUACUUUUUCGUGGGGGAUAACGUAGGGAAACUUACGCUAAUACCGCAUACGACCUACGGGUGAAAGCAGGGGAUCUUCGGACCUUGCGCGAUUGAAUGAGCCGAUGUCGGAUUAGCUAGUUGGCGGGGUAAAGGCCCACCAAGGCGACGAUCCGUAGCUGGUCUGAGAGGAUGAUCAGCCACACUGGAACUGAGACACGGUCCAGACUCCUACGGGAGGCAGCAGUGGGGAAUAUUGGACAAUGGGCGCAAGCCUGAACCAGCCAUGCCGCGUGGGUGAAGAAGGCCUUCGGGUGGUAAAGCCCUUUUGUGGGGAAAGAAAAGCAGCAGGUUAAUACCCCGCUGUUCUGACGGUACCCAAAGAAUAAGCACCGGCUAACUUCGU
rnacentral:rRNA from 1 species